rnacentral:lncRNA from 1 species
GCCACUUCCUGGGUGCUUCACGUGGAAUGUCGUGGAAAGCUUCCUUAGACCACCUUCUCUAUCUUCAGGCACACAGAGAGGAUGGCACCUGAUCCAGGGCUUUAAAUACCAUUGCCACUGAGCACCCUCAGCCAUGUCCAGUCCACGCUGGACUCCUUCCGUACUGUGAAUCUAACUGCAUGCUCAGUAACCCCACUAAGAUACAUUACAGACAUUUUGAAUUNAUAUUCUGUGGGAGCAGAUAGUGCAAUCCUCCUGUGACACCAUCACUUCCGACAUGAGGGCCCUGGCAGAGGACAUAGGCUGGAGACACAUGUUCUUCACCAACAAGCUCCAGCUGCAGCGGCAGCUCCGCAAGAGGAAACAAAUGCACGAGAGCCUCGGAGAGAAUCAGCUAUUUUAGAGACACCUUUGGCUGCCGGCAGGAAGCUCUGAGGCACCUCUGUGCUUCUCUUCAGGGUCCAAAUCUUAAGAACAAUGUUCCACUGAUCCCAGAGUCUUUCGAAAAGAAUAGAGGAUUUGUACACAAAUGCAGAACUUGGCCACCCAGUGCCCUGCUGGAACCACCAUCCCUGUUACACUGAGGGCCAAGCUGUGGCCCUAGAACAAGGAGGUCAAGAUAAGGAGCUUCGCAGGUCACUGUCUUCCCAACCCUGACGGUGCUCAGAACAGACACUUGUGCUGUACAUCAACAAACAAUAAACGAUCAUCAGCAAGUUUUAUUAUAUCUAUUGUAUGUAGAAUUUGAAUGGGUGACUGGACUCUUGAAUUUUUUCCUGGUGUUGUGUCAUCUGAGUUGUCACUGGGUCAGAGAUCCUAGAGAGGUCCUGAAAAGGAAGUGGUUGUCACUGGGACAGGGGUCUUACAGAGGUCCUGAAAGGGAAGUGGACCUCAACUCAGCCUGUGAGGGUCCCCUAUGUCAAAUCAGAAAGGAACUUAAGGGAUGGGUCACAGUGAGGGGCAAACUGGUUUUAUUAAGAGAAUGCAAGGUGUGCACGUUCUAGGGGUUGGUAGGGCGCGGGCACUGGCGAGGAAGUGCUAGUCCCCCGAGCAACAGGUGUAUACGUGUAAGAUCUAUGGUACACAGACGUCAUCGGAGAGGCCUCCCUUGUGUGCGUCCCUUGACAUGCUAAAUCAAAAUCUCUGGGUUGUUUUUUUCUGUUUUUGAUGAAAAAUCUCUAUUCAUUUCCUCACCUGGGGGUUUCAUUGUUGUGCUUUGCGAAUUUUAACAGGAUGACAUUUGUGUGGCAUUGAAGGUUCUAUGGAGAGUGUGACAUGGG